rnacentral:rRNA from 1 species
UACGGAGGGUGCGAGCGUUGUCCGGAAUCACUGGGCGUAAAGGGCGCGUAGGCGGCGCGGAUAGUCGGCGGUGAAAGCCCGGAGCUCAACUCCGGGUCGGCCGUCGAUACUUCCGGGCUGGAGCACUGUAGAGGCAGAUGGAAUUCCGGGUGUAGCGGUGGAAUGCGUAGAGAUCCGGAAGAACACCGGUGGCGAAGGCGGUCUGCUGGGCAGUUGCUGACGCUGAUGCGCGACAGCGUGGGGAGCAAACAGG